rnacentral:rRNA from 1 species
UACAGAGGUGUCAAACGUUGUCCGGAAUUACUGGGCGUAAAGCGCGUGUAGGCGGUUAUCCAAGUCGGGUGUGAAAGCCUUGAGCUCAACUCAAGAAAUGCAUUCGGUACUGGGUGACUAGAGGACCGGAGAGGAUAGUGGAAUUCCCAGUGUAGUGGUGAAAUACGUAGAGAUUGGGAAGAACACCAGUGGCGAAGGCGGCUAUCUGGACGGUUUCUGACGCUAAGACGCGAAAGCGUGGGGAGCAAACAGG